CCUACGGGGGGCAGCAGUGAGGAAUAUUGGUCAAUGGGCGCGAGUCUGAACCAGCCAAGUAGCGUGAAGGAUGACUGCCCUACGGGUUGUAAACUUCUUUUAUAAAGGAAUAAAGUGAGGCACGUGUGCCUUUUUGUAUGUACUUUAUGAAUAAGGAUCGGCUAACCCCGCGCCAGCAGCCGCGGUAAUAUGGAGGAUCCGAGCGUUAUCCGGAUUUAUUGGGUUUAAAGGGAGCGUAGAUGGGUUUUUAAGUCAGUUGUGAAAGUUUGCGGCUUAACCGUAAAAAUGCAAUUGAUACUGGAAGCCUUGAGUACAGUUGAGGUAGGCGGAAUUCGUGGUGUAGCGGUGAAAUGCUUAGAUAUCUCGAAGAACUCCGAUUGCGAAGGCAGCCUACUAAACUGCCACUGACAUUGAUGCUCGAAAGUGUGGGUAUCAAACAGGAUUAGAUACCCCUGUAGUC
rnacentral:rRNA from 1 species